UUGGGCUGGGUCAUCUGGGACACCUGAGACCAGCCUGGGCUGGGUGAGCCGCUGCUGCCGCCGCCGCCGCCGUCUUCAUCUAUGACAGGGAGAAUGCAGGAGGCUUAAUUAGUCUGUGUUUACAGAGCUGUUUGAAGACACUCAGAACUCAUGAAAGCCGCUCUCAUUGUGGUGAUCACAACGGGCUGCUCUGGACUUUAAUGUUUUCCUCCCUCCCUCCAUUUGGAGGCCUGACAGGCUAGAGUUACAGAGCACCUCACUCACAUGGAACACUCCUGCUAGCCCCAGGAUAAGCUCUGUACCCGUGAGCACUCAGCCCCGUCUGUCACCUCCACUCUGGACUCCGCAGGCCACGGAGGGCUGGCCCACUUUGAACCGUUCGCAGAUGUGGAACUCCAGAACUCGUCCGUUUCGUCUCUGGCUUCUGUGGUUUGCCAUCUGCGCUGGGCCGCGCACCCGAGCUCUUUUCCAGCUCAGGUUUAAUAAUAAUCAGUUCACCCCGUG